GGGUCACACAGCUGGGAAGUGUCUGAGGCCAGAUUUGAACCUAGGACCUCCUGUCUCUAGGUCUGGCUCGCAAUCCACUGAGUUACCAGAUGCCCCAUACAGUGUGAUUCUUUGCUGAAUUUGUUUAUAUUCCUUCCCUUGAAAAUAAACCUAGAGAAUUACCUCAAGGUCUGUAAGGUGGAGAAGAAAAAAUUUUUAAAAAGAGAGCAAGCACCAAAAUUGCUAGGUGACUUUGAAAAUAGAGCAUCUGGCCUUGGAGUGAAGAAGAUCAGAGUUUGAAUUCUGCUUCAGACACUAACUAUGCAACUCUAGGCUCCAUCAAGAUAAGCAGCCCAGAGAUACUUUGAAGUCAAGCCAAGCUGAAGGUUGAGGAUGAAAACCAUUGACUCCAAGCUAAGAAUUCAAAGGAAGUUAACAAAGGAAGUUAAGGAUUUAGUGACAACGAUCAGAGCUCGGCACGCCUCGUUCCAGACGUCCAGACCUCGCACUCUAUAAAUCCUUUCUGCCCUUGCCCCAGAGUUGCUGACUAUAUGUAUUUUGGGCCCCGGCUUUAAUUCCCUCAUCCUUGGCUGGUGACAUGAAGAUUUGUAACUGAUAGAAUGUGUUUUUAAUGUAUUUCCUGCAGGUUGCUAUUA
rnacentral:lncRNA from 1 species